GAGGGUUACAAUGAGGAUAAAAAGCUCCCUCUUCUGAAAUCCAUUGAGGAGACUCUGCUGGCAGAAUCGAACCUAAUAAUCUCCAUUGCCAUCUGAGUAU
rfam:Cucumis melo, WGS project CAJI01000000 data, contig: 03874